UAGAAAAUAAUAUAAAUGGGAGUAUGGAGGGUUUUGAUCUCUCUAGUGCGGGUUCAAUCCUGCUUUUCUAA
rnacentral:tRNA from 1 species